GCACACGUUUCUCGAGGUCCAGCCCGAAAGCCUGCGCCCUGGGCGUCCCUGCUUCGGCCCCCAGAGGGGGGUGCGCUGCUCGCUCCCCUCGCUCCACCUCCCGCGUAGCCUGCGGGCCCCUGGCGGCCCAGGGCAUGGGGCAGAGACGCCAUGCCGGCUGAUACACACGCCCGGAGGAGGUGAGGGAGGAAGCCACUUGAAAAUAAACAGGUGCGGCCGGCGGGGGACAGGGAAAGAGAUCACAGCGAAGACCCAGAAGAAACAAAAGGCAAGCGAAUGUAAGAGCUUCACCACCUUCCCACUCCAGGACGGUGGACAACAAGAGAUUUUUAUAUCCAACUGCCUACUGGACACCAACCACGUGGACAAGUCCUGGUUGCCUCAAACUCAACAUGUUCAAAGCUGAAUACAUCACCUGCUCUCCCAAAUAUGCUCCUCUCCUGCUGUUCCCAAAAUCAGAAAAUGGCUUCACGAUCAGCUCAGUCAUCUCAAGAGCAAAUGCUGAGAGUCACCCUUGAAUCCUUCUGUUGCCUCCACAUUCAAACCAUCACCAUAUCCUUGAUUUCUCUACUGUAUAUUUUUCAUAUGUGUCCACUUCUUUCCAUCUGCACUCUCAUUAGUGAAGGCCACCAACAUCUCUCAUCUGAAUGCCUGCAAUACCUCCUCACAGGUCACCAGGCAUCUAGUUUUGCCCCUGUCCUGCCCUUCCCUCAUCUAGAGUGAAGCCAGUAGGAACCUUCCAAAAUGAAAAUCUGAUUAAGUCACUUCUUUGCUUAAAACUUUUUUAUGGUUUCACAGCCCAUGAAAAUAGUAUCCAAUGUCUUUAAGUGCAUUGCAAAACUCUUCAAGGCCUCCCUCUCCAAUCCUUCUAGUCCUCCCUCCCCAGUUUCAUCACUCAUUAUAUACCCCAUAACCUUUAUGCCAGAGUUGUCAUGAACCUCCUCCCAUUCCUUCAGUAUUUUAUGUCUUUUUGCCUUCAGGUCUUUACACAUGUUGUUCCUUCAUAUUGAAAUAUUCUUUCCUCUCCCCAUUGCCUGGUAGAUUAACUCCUGUUUAUCCUUCAGAUGUCAGCCUUAAUGUCACUCUCUCAAGGUGAACAUCCCUGAAUUCUCUGAUGCAUUACAUAGGAUACCGUUUUUAUUCUGCCAUUGUAUGUGUCACCCUUUAUUGUUAAGAAACAUUUAAAUAAGAAAUAUUUAAUUGUUAAUAAACAGUUUUAAAUAAAAAAUAUUUAUUU
rnacentral:lncRNA from 1 species